ACUCCUACGGGAGGCAGCAGUGGGGAAUUUUGGACAAUGGGCGAAAGCCUGAUCCAGCAAUGCCGCGUGCGUGAAGAAGGCCUUCGGGUUGUAAAGCACUUUUGUCCGGAAAGAAAUCCUUGGCUCUAAUACAGUCGGGGGAUGACGGUACCGGAAGAAUAAGCACCGGCUAACUACGUGCCAGCAGCCGCGGUAAUACGUAGGGUGCGAGCGUUAAUCGGAAUUACUGGGCGUAAAGCGUGCGCAGGCGGUUUGCUAAGACCGAUGUGAAAUCCCCGGGCUCAACCUGGGAACUGCAUUGGUGACUGGCAGGCUAGAGUAUGGCAGAGGGGGGUAGAAUUCCACGUGUAGCAGUGAAAUGCGUAGAGAUGUGGAGGAAUACCGAUGGCGAAGGCAGCCCCCUGGGCCAAUACUGACGCUCAUGCACGAAAGCGUGGGGAGCAAACAGGAUUAGAAACCCUAGUAGUCCCAU
rnacentral:rRNA from 1 species